GAUGAACGCUGGCGGCGUGCCUAAUACAUGCAAGUCGAGCGCAGCGAGGGGGGGUGAGUAACGCGUGGAAACCCGCCUUUACGACUGGGAUAGCUUGGGGUAACAGGAGCUAAACCGGAUAUUUAUAGAUGGAUCAGCGCUGCAUUAGCUAGUUGGUAAGGUAACGGCUUAACAAGGCAACGAUGCAUAGACGACCCGAGAGGGUGAUCGGCCACACUGGAACUGAGACACGGUCCAGACUCCUACGGGAGGCAGCAGUAGGGAAUCUUCCGCAAUGGGCGAAAGCCUGACCGAGCAACGCCGCGUGAGUGAUGAAGGUCUUCGGAUCGUAAAACUCUGUUAUUAGGGAAGCGGUACCUAAUCAGAAAGCCACGGCUAACUACGUGCCAGCCGCCGCGGUAAUAC
rnacentral:rRNA from 1 species